UGUAAAGUGAGAGCAGGCCUCCUGCUCAGACUUGCCUCAGACUCCGUGCUCACAUCUGCCCAACGGUGCUUGCGAAACCUUUGCGCGCAGAUCCUGCUGCUGUCACCUGAUCAUCGCUGAGGACUUCUGGAUGUCCCCCAACUCGCUGGAUUACUGAAAUCAGCAAGUGACUUUGUGAGAUUAGACCCUGAGGGCAGUUUCUGCCUCUCUCUCUCUCUCAACACUUCGUCUCGUCUGUCAUGGCAACUUCGUUGAUCAGCCGUCAGCUUGCUCUCUCUUUACAGAAAAACUUGUGGCUCAGUGCUCCAGGGUGCAGAUAUGUCAGCAAGGCAGCAGCAAAAACCCAGGUGGAGUUUGACUAUGAUGGCCCUUCUAUGAAAACUACAGUCCCUGGACCACGAUCACAAGAGCUGACGAAACAACUGGGAGUCAUCCAGAAUGUUGGUGCAGUCAACUUCUUCUGUAACUAUGAGGAAAGCAGAGGGAACUACCUGGUGGAUGUGGACGGCAACCGCAUGCUGGAUAUCUACACUCAGAUAUCUUCUAUCCCAAUUGGCUACAACCACCCUGCUCUCCUCAAACUGAUGACCAACCCCAACAAUCUGAGUACUUUUGUGAACCGACCUGCCCUGGGAAUCCUGCCACCUGAGAACUUUCCGGACAAACUUACUGAAAGUCUCAUCUCAGUGGCUCCUAGCGGAAUGACUCGUGUUCAGACAAUGGCUUGUGGUUCUUGCUCCAAUGAGAAUGCUUACAAAGCAAUGUUUAUCUGGUACAGGAAUAAGGAACGAGGCCACAAGACUCCAUCUGAUGAAGACCUGAGCUCCUGCAUGAUAAAUCAGGCCCCGGGUUGUCCAGACCUCAGUAUUUUAUCUUUCAUGGGAGGUUUCCAUGGAAGAACACUGGGUUGCUUGGCAACAACACACUCCAAAGUAAUCCAUAAGCUGGAUGUGCCAUCAUUUGAUUGGCCAAUUGCCCCAUUCCCCAAACUGAAGUACCCACUGGAGGAGUUUACCAGAGAGAAUGCCCAGGAGGAGGCCCGUUGUCUGGAGGAGGUGGAGGAUCUGAUCGUGAAGUGGAGGCAGAAGGGGAUGCCUGUGGCAGGGAUUGUAAUUGAACCAAUUCAGGCUGAAGGCGGAGACAACCAUGCCUCCCCAGACUUCUUCAAACAGCUCCGCAAAAUUGCACGCAAGCAUGGCUGUGCUUUUCAUGUGGAUGAAGUCCAGACUGGUGGGGGUGGCACAGGAAAGUUUUGGGCCCAUGAGCACUGGGGCAUGGAUGACCCUGCUGACAUUGUCUCCUUCAGCAAGAAGCUUCUGACUGGGGGCUACUACCACAAGGAUGAAUUGCAGGCAGAUAAGCCAUACCGCAUCUUUAACACAUGGAUGGGUGACCCAUCAAAGAACUUGUUCCUUUCAGAAGUUCUUAAUGUAAUCCGUAGAGAAAACCUUCUGGAGGAAGUGACCCGUUCGGGGAAAGCCCUGCUACAUGGCCUUUAUGAGCUACAGGCUCAGUACCCCGGCAUAUUGAGCGCAGCUCGAGGACAGGGGACCUUCUGUGCCAUUGACAUCUGUGAUGAUGCAACACGCGAUAGGAUCCUGGUCAAGGCCAGAGACAAAGGUGUCCUCCUGGGAGGAUGUGGGGAUCGAUCAAUCCGUUUCCGUCCAGCAUUGGUUUUCAAGGAGUACCAUGUUCACCUCUUCCUCAACAUCUUUAAUGAUGUGUUGGCCAACCUCAAAUAAAUUCUGAUCUUGAAAGAAUCUGACUAAUCAAGCAAAGUCUGAGUUCAUCCAGAAUGCAGAGAAGGAAAUUCCAGACAGUCUAUGUCAUGAUAAGCACAAUCUAAACAAUAAUAAUAUUCUAUCAAACCUCUAUUUCUGGAUUCAGGGCCAGUUAAGUUUAUAAAAGUAAAUAUUGGCCAUCUCCUUAGCCAGAAAUGAUGAUUUCCUCUUACCUGUGCUGCCAUAAAGAUGUAUCCAGAAAACGAUUUAAAGAAGGUACAAUAGCUGCAAUUUUCUUAGAAUGUUGAUGUAUCUGGAAAAUAAAUCUGUUGAAAUAACUCCAGAAUCGUUCUAUUGUUCCCAUUAUAUGUCAGUACAUCUAGCAUGCCUUGCACUGUUCCCUAUCAACUUCUUAGACAGUCAAACAUUUCAGAAAACGGGCUCAGCCAAAGCCUGUACUACACAUGUUGAGCCAUCACAAAAUCUCAUUUUCCAAGAUGUAGCAGUGUAACAUUCAGUGCGAGUUGGCAUCUAAUUUCUCAUGAAUAUUCACAGAUUUCUGUGGUAGCAGUUGUCGGCUGAACAAAUGCUGGUUUACGAUGUAUUUUUGUAAGUCAACAUAAAACGACCUGUAAAGUUGUAUUCAUUGCUCCAUUUUUGUGGCAUUUUUUCUGUUGUUAAUUUUCUGGUACUGGCAAGUAAAGAUGACAUUUCCAUUCUUAAUCUGGCCUACAAAACCUAUCUAGAAUAAAUAGCCAAUUCUGAAAAGCCUACUUUGACUUUUCAGAAUCUGUGAAUAAGUCAGAGAUGUAUGCAAUUAAAAGGUCUGUAAUGUGACUCAAAAUGUAAGUCUGGUCCUUUAACGGGAACCACAAAAUAGAUAAAUUUGAAUAAGAUUAAGUUAAUAUCCAAACUCCUAAAGAAGCAUCCUUAAUGGCUUAGAACAAAGCAUUGCAUACAGCUUCUUUUAGUGGUCAUAUGCCAGUAUCACCUCAUCUCUGCCUGACUCACAGUCCCUGUGAUCAUAGUUUGUUGUAUGAAGGCCAGUUGUCAUCCUGGAUACAGAAUUCUGUGUUAGUGUUAGGGAUGACUCUAUAUAGGAACACACAAUAAAACUAAUAUGCCAGCUUGCAUGUCAUUUAAUGCUGUCUAUUUGAACUGUCUAUGUUAUGAUAAUGACUGUUGUGUUGCUCUUAAAAGAACUAAUUUUUCAACUUGAAAUGUUGUAGCCCAAAAAAAUGGUCAUCUUAAAUGAACCAUAAAAAUGUCAUAGAUAAUUUAGUGCCUGCAUGUUACUUAAAUCUAGCAUUUGUUUUUUUAAAUUUUAUUUUGUCACUACUCGCUCAAAUCAGAGCAGAAAUCAGUAAACUUAAGUGAACACAUUCACUUGACUCCUGAACAAAAACUUAGUUUCAGUUUCCAGAUUUUUAUUAAUUUCAUCUUCAGGUCUAGCUUUAUUGUGUGUAUAUAUAUAUAUAUUUAUACACAUAUAUAUAUAUAUGAUUUCAUCUAACACUCAUUGGUUACAGAAUUAGGAAAUCAUGUUGGUGAAUUAAGCACAGAGUGAAACAUAUUUCAUACUUUGCCUCAAGCUGUGUCUGAGAUGGGCAAAGCUUUUUGCACAAACAUUUGGGUAAUAUGCUCCCAAACCCAAAUGUUUACCAUUUCAAAAUCACAUGCUCUCUAACAACAACAAAAAAAGAAAAUACAGGAAACAUACAAACAUCAUAAACCUGUGCUGACACUUCAAGAAAUCUACCUUGCUAAGUUGCUACAAUAUCCGUUUACAAGCAGUCCUCUAAAUGCAUUCUCCUUCCUUAAGCUUACUGCAUGAUCCCAUUAUAUUGUAGUAAAUUUUUAAUUGGCUGAAGAACUGUGUCAUCCAAGAGGCCUCUUUAGUUCAGAGUGAUUGGUGUUGGUGAUGUGGUAUAGCAUGACGGGGAUGACUGCGUAUUUGCUGACAGAGUCAGAAGGUUAUAACUGAUAGGUGGCAAGUCAGGCUUGUUACUCAUGCUGUUUGGGUUUGUCUUAUCCACUGAAAACACACUAUGCAGUUUUAAUGGAUAUUGUCCAGUGGAAAAAAUGGGAAUGAACCCAUUACAGACUCAAAAAUAAACUUUGGUUGGGUACAUAAAGGUUCGAUGUAUGAUGCAGAGUGAGUUUUUACAGGAUGAGAUGGACCCAAACAGAACUAACUGUAGCCAAGUGGUUGACUUUGAGCUUUAAGCACAGGUUUAUUUCAAGCAGGGUGGUCCAUAAAUGCAUUCGAUAAUGGGUAAUAUAAAGCUGUAGUAUAAUCUCAAACAACUUUACAGCAGAACUUUUAUAAAUACUUGAAUUUUGAUUUUGUAAAUCUGCUUAAGCUGAUUUGAUGGAACAGUUGAGACCUUCAGUCAUGUCUGUGAAUGUUCCAUGGAGUUUUUAGAACAAGGAAUGUGAACAGGGUCGUAAAUUGUGUUACUACAUUAUUUUAUUUUAUAUUCUUAACAAUUUUUCAUAUAUACAUAUAUAUAUAUAUGUUUGCUUUUUACAUUCACAUUGCACAAAUUAGAUCCCACCUGAUGUAUUAAAAAUAGUUUACAGGGUUAGUUUCUCUUGUAUGACUCACAUUUAGUAUUAAACAUACAUUUUAACAAACAUGUAAUAAAGCCAGCAAGGAGGGGUUGGUAGAGUUCCAGAUGUUGCGCAAUUGUGAUGAUGACAACAGUGCCUGUCUCCAUGUUGUCAGUUAGUAUUACACUGAGUAUCUGUAAUAACUUUCUUUUCAAAAAAAUUUGAUAUUAACUACUAAAUACUUGCUCUGCGAUCUGAGAUAGAUGAUUAUCGAUGUAAUAAUUUUAGAUUGCUCUAACUGUUGUCUAUUAAACAGUCCUUUCAUGUAAUGUGAUCAAUAAAGACUUGUGUAACUUUG